rnacentral:lncRNA from 1 species
CAUGGAGGAUACCUGAUCAGCAGCCCCGACGAACCAGGACGCGCCGUGUGGCAACAGGCGCUGACGCGAUGCCAUGCGGGCAAUCCACAUGCCCGCGAUCAAACAACUCAGAUCCGUUCCCGCGCGCACGAACGGCCCAGAUGUGUUCCCUCCCCAAACGCGAUUGGAUGAUCAGAUUUAAACGCGAUCGAACGGUCCAGAGUUAGAUCGCGAUAAAUAUUCUAUAUUAGAUCGCGAUCGGACGGUCUAGAUCAAACGCGAUAUACGAUCCA